GACGAACGCUGGCGGCGUGCUUAACACACGCAAGUCGAACGGAAAGGCCCUGCUUUUGUGGGGUGCUCGAGUGGCGAACGGGUGAGUACACGUGAGUAACCUGCCCUUGACUUUGGGAUAACUUCAGGAAACUGGGGCUAAUACCGGAUAGGAGCUCCUGCUGCAUGGUGGGGGUUGGAAAGUUUCGGCGGUUGGGGAUGGACUCGCGGCUUAUCAGCUUGUUGGUGGGGUAGUGGCUUACCAAGGCUUUGACGGGUAGCCGGCCUGAGAGGGUGACCGGCCACAUUGGGACUGAGAUACGGCCCAGACUCCUACGGGAGGCAGCAGUGGGGAAUAUUGCACAAUGGGCGGAAGCCUGAUGCAGCAACGCCGCGUGCGGGAUGACGGCCUUCGGGUUGUAAACCGCUUUCGCCUGUGACGAAGCGUGAGUGACGGUAAUGGGUAAAGAAGCACCGGCUAACUACGUG
rnacentral:rRNA from 1 species